AUGAUGGAAUCAAUGCAAAGAGAAACAAAUGAAAAGCAAGAACAAGGCUCAGAGAAACUAAGAGACACUCCACGGCCCUGCAGCUGGCAAAGGAAGAGACAGCAGAAUAUUGAAACAGCUCCCCGGACAUUCCAGGGUCUAGGAGGCACUGCAGACUGUGUGCAGAGGCAGCUGAUUCACCUCUUGUGUUGUUAGGAUGGUGAACUUGGACAGUUUCAUAGGCAACGGAGAACCCCAGGACCCAGACGUGAUUUCUGACAUUCCAGAGGGAGGGAAGAACGGCUGGCAUCUGCACAGUUCCAAGGACACGCUGCCCUGUUGCUCUUUCCGACUUCCUGGUGCACACUCCAUGGCUGAGCUUAACUUCAGCCACUUUUAAGGGUUGCAUGAAGCAGGUAGGCCCAGGGCGAGCCUUGCCUAGACUGGCUCAGACCUCUGCACCCUCGCAAGCACUGAAUGCCUGCAGCCCCCCAGUUCCCGGGUGAAGUCCUGGUCAACUGCCAGCAGCCAGUGGAGACUACAGUUUCUCCAGCAGGCCUUCCUGACCUCCCAUCCCUUGGGUAGCUGCCUCCAGUCCCCUCACGGGUUUACCCCCUCUGUUGUGGUACUAACACUGAGAGUUGAAGCUCCUUGGCAGGGUCUUUGCUGACUGCUCUGUGUCCUCAACCAGACACUGGGUUCUCUGAGAGCAGGGACUUUGGCUGUCUUGCUCACUCUCAUAUCCUCAGCACACAGGACCUUUCUGGCAGGCAGAAGGCACUCAGUAAAUGUUUGCUCAAGUGCCGGAUGAAGACGUGAGUGAGUGAAUGAAUGAAUGAAUGGAUGGCAUCCACAGGUCAUAUUCUGUGUAUGAUGAGGCACGUAGAGUUUCUAGGAAACCUGAAACUCCUACAGUGAGCCGUUCUAGUAUUUUACUAUAUUGUCUCUAGAAGGCUCCCUUUAAAAAUUACAUCGAACACCUAUUCUUAUUCAUCAGUACCUUAGCAUGAAUGAGUUUGCAGGAUUAUAAGGUACCUGAGGAAAUAGACUGGGCUUGGUACUAUUCUGGGGUGAAAGGGUAUAAGUGUGAGGCAGUGAGUGAAUAAGAAAGACCUGGAGUGAGGCUGUAAGGGUACUAUUCAAGCAGGUCCCUGAACUGAGGGGCUCUUUAUGGGCAUGACACCUAGGAGAGCGUCCUUGAGAGGGACAGGCACUG
rnacentral:lncRNA from 1 species